UUUGAAGUGUGGACGCCAGUCUGCAUGGAGCCGACCUUGAAAUACCACCCUUUAAUGUUUGAUGUUCUAACGUGGACCCGUGAUCCGGGUUGCGGACAGUGUCUGGUGGGUAGUUUGACUGGGGCGGUCUCCUCCUAAAGAGUAACGGAGGAGCACGAAGGUUGGCUAAUCCUGGUCGGACAUCAGGAGGUUAGUGCAAUGGCAUAAGCCAGCUUGACUGCGAGCGUGACGGCGCGAGCAGGUGCGAAAGCAGGUCAUAGUGAUCCGGUGGUUCUGAAUGGAAGGGCCAUCGCUCAACGGAUAAAAGGUACUCCGGGGAUAACAGGCUGAUACCGCCCAAGAGUUCAUAUCGACGGCGGUGUUUGGCACCUCGAUGUCGGCUCAUCACAUCCUGGGGCUGAAGUAGGUCCCAAGGGUAUGGCUGUUCGCCAUUUAAAGUGGUACGCGAGCUGGGUUUAGAACGUCGUGAGACAGUUCGGUCCCUAUCUGCCGUGGGCGCUGGAGAACUGAGGGGGGCUGCUCCUAGUACGAGAGGACCGGAGUGGACGCAUCACUGGUGUUCGGGUUGUCAUGCCAAUGGCACUGCCCGGUAGCUAAAUGCGGAAGAGAUAAGUGCUGAAAGCAUCUAAGCACGAAACUUGCCCCGA
rnacentral:rRNA from 1 species